rnacentral:piRNA from 1 species
UGGCUUGGAAGAGAAUCUGUGCACUU